UUGAACGCUGGCGGCAGGCCUAACACAUGCAAGUCGAACGGUAACAGGAAGCAGCUUGCUGCUUUGCUGACGAGUGGCGGACGGGUGAGUAAUGUCUGGGAAACUGCCUGAUGGAGGGGGAUAACUACUGGAAACGGUGGCUAAUACCGCAUAACGUCGCAAGACCAAAGAGGGGGACCUUCGGGCCUCUUGCCAUCAGAUGUGCCCAGAUGGGAUUAGCUUGUUGGUGAGGUAACGGCUCACCAAGGCGACGAUCCCUAGCUGGUCUGAGAGGAUGACCAGCCACACUGGAACUGAGACACGGUCCAGACUCCUACGGGAGGCAGCAGUGGGGAAUAUUGCACAAUGGGCGCAAGCCUGAUGCAGCCAUGCCGCGUGUAUGAAGAAGGCCUUCGGGUUGUAAAGUACUUUCAGCGGGGAGGAAGGU
rnacentral:rRNA from 1 species